rnacentral:rRNA from 1 species
AGAGCGAACGCUGGCGGCAGGCUUAACACAUGCAAGUCGAACGGACCCUUCGGGGUUAGUGGCGGACGGGUGAGUAACACGUGGGAACGUGCCUUUUGGUUCGGAACAACACAGGGAAACUUGUGCUAAUACCGGAUGUGCCCUUCGGGGGAAAGAUUUAUCGCCAUUAGAGCGGCCCGCGUCUGAUUAGCUAGUUGGUGGGGUAAAGGCCUACCAAGGCUACGAUCAGUAGCUGGUCUGAGAGGAUGACCAGCCACAUUGGGACUGAGACACGGCCCAAACUCCUACGGGAGGCAGCAGUGGGGAAUCUUGCGCAAUGGGCGAAAGCCUGACGCAGCCAUGCCGCGUGAAUGAUGAAGGUCUUAGGAUUGUAAAAUUCUUUCACCGGGACGAUAAUGACGGUACCCGGAGAAGAAGCCCGGCUAACUUCGCGCCAGCAGCCGC